rnacentral:lncRNA from 1 species
GAAUUCAAAGUGGAAAUUCGUAGCUUUGAGCUGAGUUGCAUUUUUUCUUAAGUGCUGAAGUUUUGGAUGUAGGUUCUGGGCAUCCAGAAAUUGGGUCCUGUUAGGGAUUUUGUAUUGAAAAUUUUCGUGAUUUGAGUCGGAGUCUUGAAGGGUUCAAUUAGUGUUGUUGAAGAUCGAAGAAUUCGAAAUUCUGAAAAACUCGAAAA